CAGGGGGUAGUUUUGAAAAGCGUUAAUUUUGGAGAUUAAAGACCCCUGUUCACAAGGGCUCUCUGA
rnacentral:tRNA from 1 species